GACGAACGCUGGCGGCGGGCCUAAUACAUGCAAGUAGAACGCAGUUGCGAACGGGUGAGUAACGCGUAGGUAACUGCCUCAUAGCGGGGGAUAACUAUUUGAAACGAGAGCUAAUACCGCAUACUGUGAGAUGGACCUGCGUUGUAUUAGCUAGUUGGUGAGGUAAAGGCUCACCAAGGCGACGAUACAGAGCCGACCUGAGAGGGGGAACGGCCACACUGGGAACGGGACCCGGCCCAGGACCCUACGGGAGGGAGCAGUAGGGAAUCUUCGGCAAUGGACGGAAGGCUUGACGAGCAACGGCGCGUGAGAGAAGAAGGUUCUCGGAGCGUAAAGCUCUGUUGUUAGAGAAGCGGUACCUAACCAGAAAGGGACGGCUAACUACGUGCCAGCAGCCGCGGUAAUUC
rnacentral:rRNA from 1 species